GCCAAUGUAGUUUAAGGGUAGGUCACUUCCAUGUUAGGUAAGGGGUCGAGGGUUCAAAUCCCUUCAUUGGUC
rnacentral:tRNA from 1 species